GCAUGCUUAUAGAUUACAUAAAAAUAUAAAAUUGUUUAAACCAAACUAAAACUAAAAUAGGUACUUAUACUUACUUACAGCUGUACCUAAAAACACCACCAAAAUACCCCAAAUACUUACCUUUAAUCACUCACCUAUAAAUGAAAUCUUCUAAAAUACUUAACUUCGAAACCUACUUACCUACCUACUGACCAAAAAUACCACAGUGUUAUAUAAUAAAUAUAAAUUGAACUAAUUACGCACGCUUGCGCUGCCAGCUUAAAAUAAUGUGCCUAACCCAUAAUAUUCUCUGGGUGGUACAAAUGGAACGCAACCCCAUUAUUAAUUAGUUCUAAAGGAACUUACAUCCAUGUUGUUCUUUUGUUCACCCGUUCCGGUUAGAAGGAAAAUGGCCACGAAGAAGGUUACCGAUUAAAAGAAAGUUAAAGCCAAAUUCUUUUUUACAAGUUGUCCGAACCAAACGGAUGGGUAGAUCUCCUCUGCAGUCGAGUAAGUUUCCAAAAAAACAAUUUACAGCUUGGCCUGGGACGUUCAAUAGAUAAUAAGGCCAUAGCUGGUAUUCUAUUAAUUAAAGAUUCGAGUAGUGAUUAUAUAAAAUAAAAGAGAAUAAAAAAAAAAGUAAGCUGCAAGACUGCGACACACUGCGCGGCGAUAGGGAAAUUUCUCGAUCGUCGACACUUAGUAAUCCAAUCAGAAAAGGUUUAUUCCUAAUUGAGUGGCAUCCCCCCAUAGGGGGGAUUCGCGAAUAUUGGCUGCGCCACCUAUCAAACAGUAGCGGUAAUUGCCAGGACAUUUUUACUGGAAGCGACAGGCCAACAUAUUCCAAUCAAAGAAGGGGCAAGAGAAGAAUUAAAAACUAAACAAAACUCAAAAUUUAAUUCAGUGCUUUAAGAUUAGAUCAGUUAAAGAUAAGAAGUAAAGAUAUGUGUGGAGAUAGACGUUGGUGUAGUGUAUCUCACUUAAAUAUUUAAAGUAAAGAAAAAAAAAUAAGAAAAGAAACAUAUUUAGAUAUAUAUAUAUAAAAGUAAAAAGCAAAAAAAAAAAAAUCGAUAAAAUUACAGUCGAAAGAAACAGAACAAAAAAGGAAAAAGAAAAGUGAGUUUGUACAAAUGCAAAUUAUAGGAGUGCGAA